GCCCCAAAGAAGAGGUUGAGUCUUUCUCCUUUGCCUGUGGUUUGUGUCUAUUGGAAAUACAGUUAAAUGGUAGAAUCAUGAAAUUGUUUGGGUUGGAGGGGACCUUAUAGAUAUCCAGUUUCACCUUCCACUAGCCUAGGUUGUUCCAAGCCCCAUGCAACCUGGCCUUGGCACUCCAAGGAUGGAUCAGCAGCAGCUUCUGUGGGCAACCUGAGCCAGGGCCCCAGCACCCUUCCAGGUGUGAUAGAUAAUUAAUGAUAAAGCCAAAUCAAUAUUUUUAUUUCACUACCUAGGUUUGGUCUCUGAUAGCCACAAUGAAAGGGUCAGCGUCGAGCCCGGGAUCAGUGCUGGAUGAACACAGAUUCGAACUCUACUGCCUAGAAUGCCCCUGUUACCAAAUACUGUCUCUGUCAGGCGGGCUUUAUACUGUUUAUUUCGCCUGGGACAGUUUCUUCUGUUCUUCUCCUUGCUGUACAUAUCCAUGUAGUUUCCUUUUCUCUGUGCUGGGCUGGACAAUGCCUGUUCUGGGAAGUGGUGAAUGCUGAUGGAGUUAAGGGAAUCUGGUACUGGCAUGCACAUCCUUGAAGAUGCUGACUAUCUUGAUCAUGGAUACUUGUCAGGUAUACUUGGAUGUCUCUGGACUGUCCCAGGAAAGGGCCCAUCUCCACACAAACCAUGUCUUUUUGUUUGCUAAUUAGGUUCUCUUCUUUGCUGCUGUCUGAUUUCACAAUUGGUGAGGCAAUCUCCUUCCCCUGCUGUGGCUUGUGGUUUUGAAAUCUUGAAUCUUUAACAGGCACAACUUAUUUCAUGUAUAUUUUACAAAGAAGAGACAAGGAUGUUUAAUUCCACUCCAUUGAAGGGCAGUGCAAGGAUAACCUUUGGUGAAUGCUCUGACACAUUAAAACCUUCACAGGAAAGAAGGGGUUUCUCUUACUGCUGGUUUCAAGAUGCCUCAGGAAACAGUUUGGGAAAUCAUGGAAAAACAGGAGGACAGCUGAGCAGUAGAACAAAAAGUCCUACAGUCGAUGAAUGCUUUGGGCAUCUUGCACCUGGUGGGCCCAAAGCCCUGGGAACAGUAAACAGAAAUAUAAAAGAGAAACCAGAAAAAAUGUUGUGCUUUGUCUAAAGCAAAUCAUGCAAGACUGUGGUUAAGCAACGUUACCAGGAAACAUAAAUAUUGUGGUUAUCGCUUUGGCAGUGGAAAAUUCUACCCGAAGCUGUAAGAGUACACAAACUGAGCUGUAGAAACAAUACGUUGGCUUCUUGCUUGCACCAAGUCCCUCACUCACUGCCAGACCUCAGAAACUGUUAAGGGAUUUUUGUGGUGCUGCAAUGGCCUCCGAUGGGAAAAUUGAGGAAAAAACCCAAACUCCAAGUCUGGAGGCUGAUGGUGGAGAGGAGAAUGAAUGUUAUCAUAGAAUUGGGACAAUUCUGGCUGUAAAAUGAGAACUGUGUGUGAUAAUGAUUUGUGCUAACUAAAUUAUAACAAUUAUUUUUUAAAAUAUUGCUACAGUUACAAAGUAAUAAAAUAUGUAGGAUUGAGGAAAGCAAGAUCCCAAAACAGAAUGGCCUUGGUAUGAACAAAGUCCUUUGUUACAUGUGGAAAAACAGGAUACAGGAUGUAGUGUUGAGAUGAGCAAGAUUCCAAAACAGAAUUGGCCUUGGGCUGAACUAAGUUGGGAUGAUUCCAGCCCAGCACAGAGAAAGGAGACUACAUAAAUAUGUGAAGCCAUGAAAUGAAAGACUCUUCCCCAGGCAGAAAAAGCUGUAUAAAAACUACCUGGACAGGAGCAGCCUUCGCGAGCAGAGGGGAUCCAAAGCGAUAGAGUUCGGAUCAGAGUUCACCAGUGCCAAUUCCAGGCUCGAUGCUGUCCCUUUGAUUUGGGCUAUUGGAGACUGAAUCUCAGUCACAAAAUAAAACCUAUUUCAUUAAUUAUUAAUUUGGCUUUAUCAUUUAUUACCUAUAACACUCAGAAUAAGAGGAACUGGUGAGGACAUGCAGGAGGAGCCUUUUAAGGGGCAGUGUUCAGCUGGUGGGCACUGACUGGGUCAGAAAGGAAUUCAUCUUGCAAAAGUCUCCAUCAAGUUUAAUUUUCUAGCGUCCUCGCAGCACGGUGAGCUCUGGCUUGGAAGCGCCGCCCCCACUGCCCACUUUCACCCCCUAUGUGGACGAGUCAGCUCAGCCCCAAAUGAUGAUGAGCUGAAUGGAAUUGAACGUUUGAGUGAGGAUGCAAUUGUGAGCGGCUCCUACAAGAACAAGACCCUUUGUGCCAACCCAGAGGACACGUGUGACUUUAACAGGGCUGCCCAGCUGGCCUCGACGCCCUUUCACGGGGUGGUAGCUCAGAGAGUGCCAGCUCCUGCUUUCUCUCAGGGUGAGCUGAAGGAAGAUAGCCCAGAAUCCAAGAGUGCACCUCUGAAUCAGGAGACACUGGUGUGUGUGUGAAGUGUGGAGCACUGCAAAGGUUGAGGCUCAAAAUUAAGAAGGUGAGCCACUGGGGACAAUGGGAUCUCAACUGUCAACCAAAAAAAAAGCUGCCGUGGCAGCAGAAGAAAAAGCUAUAGUGAACGCAUGGACCCUUAUGUUGCACCUGCAAGGGAUAAAAUGCAAUAAAAAGGCUCUGUGCACUUUAUUGCAGUGGUGUCGGAACCAUGGGGUAGAUGCCAGCGUAAGAGCUGCAUUUAUUGUUAAAAACUGGGAACAGGCUGGUGAAUUGAUUUUUGAAUCAGCUUCUCGAGGAGAUGAGACUGCUAAAAAUAUUAUGACUACCUGGAGGCUCGUGCUGGAUACCUUGAAACUGCUGAAACCUGAGCAACAUGCAAAAACAGCAGCUGAGGCACCGCAGGCACCACUUGCCAAGACUCCCAGUGAUAGUGGAGCUCAAGAGGGAGCAGCGGGGGGAGUAGAAGCCACAUCGAGUUUGCAGGUGGAAAGGACGGGGGAAAACCUAGAAGGGAAGCAGCUGUCAUCCACGCCUCCUAUCCCUGCAACUCUGCCCACGCCGUGUGCCCCUACACCCCCGUGUCCUGCACCUCCAGUUACCACAAACCCAUCCUCUCCUCCUCUGCCUACGGCUGGCCGGAGUGAUGAUAAACUUCUGUCAACAGCCCCGCCAGUGCUUGAUAGGCCUAAUCACAACCUCGGCAUGGAAAUAGGAGCCGGCAGCCAAGCGGCACUCGGUGCUGAGAGUUCCGGCAGGGAGCUGCCAGCACCUGGAGUGGAGGGACACCACAUCCCAUCAUGUCCACAGCCAAAGCCUGAGAGGCCUAAGGAACCCCCUCCAUUAGUAGAUUUGUGGGAUCCUAACAGGGGAGGCCCAAGUUGUCACACCCCUGCUGGCCCUCAGGAGGAUGCUUUUACCAUGCGACCAGUACCAGCUACUGUCUCCGGAUGCAAUCGGGUUAGAUUUUGGCACUAUGUUAAAUUAAACUUUCUUGCUAGUGGGGAUCUUGAAGUUGCUGAACGACUUUCUGCACCACUAUCCCGGCUGUUCUUGGGUGGCCAAGAGCUUGUGUGUGGGACGACUGGCACUACUGUCUCAGCAUACAAUCCAGUUCGCUUUUGGGAACGUAUGCAAUUAAUGGCACUUGCUAGUGGAGAUUACAAAGUUGCUGAACGAAUUUCUGUACCUAAGCUCCCGCUGUCCUUGGGUGACCAAGAACUGGAAGACGAUUGGACUGAGCCCUAUAUUCAUGUCACCUUUAAAAUUCUCUCCCAGUUAUGCCAACUAGCCACCCAACAUGGACUGGGGUCUCCGGUCGUAACAAGGAUGUUACGGCUUCUAGCUGAAGCUGAAAUGACACCCUUUGAUAUCAAGCAAAUAGCAGGGUUGCUCUGUACCCCGAUGGAAUACAUGGUGUUUGAGUCCACCUGGAAGCAGCAUGCAGAAAAGCAAGGGCUGCAUAAUUUAGUGGUGCCGCAGCAAGAUCCGUGUUUUGGGGCAGGGGUCCCUGAACUUCUGGGAUUGCCUCCCAUAAAUAACCCACAGGUGCAAGCACGCCUAAAUCCUUUGAUAUUGGCACAGGCAAGAGAUUUAGGAAUGCAGGCCCUGAUGAAAGUUGGAAACAUGGCAUUGGCAACUCCAACUCAGAGUUUUGCAAAAAUUAAGCAGGGCCCCAAAGAGCCUUAUGUGGAAUUUAUAGAACGAUUAAAAGAUGCCAUGGAAAAGCAAAUAGCAAAUGACGAUGCAAAAAAUCUGUUGAUGUUGUCAUUGGCACGAGACAAUGCAAAUGAAGAUUGCAAGAAAGCUAUAGACUUAUUACCAAGAAAAAAUCCAUCCUUAGAUGAAAUGAUUAAUGCGUGUGCUGAAGUUGGAACUCUAUCUUAUGAAGUGUCUCUGUUAGCUGAUUCCUUGGCAGCUGCUCUAAGGUCGUACCAAUGCUAUGGAUGCGGGCAACUAGGUCACAAGAAAGCAAAUUGUCCCCAUAGGUACAACUCAUGGGGGACACGUCAGAAACAGAGAGCUGGGCCUGUAGUGGGAAGCUGUUACCGGUGUGGAAAACCCGGUCAUUUCGCCAAGCAAUGCAAGUCUAAAUUCCACGCCAACGGACAACCUCUCAGUGGACAGGGAAACUGGAACAGGAGUGCCAAGGGGAAGUGCUUGCAGACACGAGUACCUUCCCGUCCCUCAGUGCAGGCCUAUGGAACCAGGUCACAGGGACGGCAGGAGGAUCAGCUGGCAUGGAUGUAUCUGUCCCUGGCAUUAUAACUUAGAGACUCAUUAAAGGUUUAUAAAAUCCCCCUCGAGGCCCAUGGGUCUGCUGGGGAAGGAUUAAGUACAUUACUAUUAAGAUGAUCAAGAGCAAUGUUACAGGGUUUUUUUGUCCACCCUGGAGUUACAGAUGCAGACUAUACUGGACAAAUAUGUGCUAUGGUAUCAACACCUCCUCCUCCUCCUCCUGUACCCCUUCCAGCUAAAAGUCUUACUGUUCAACUUGUACCUUUUAAGUCUUGUGUUCCUAAAACAGACUCAAAGCUGCGAGAAAACAGAGGCUUUGGCUCGACGGGGGAACCUGAAGUAUACUGGACUCAGAUUGUAUCUGAUCAAAGACCAAACAUGGUUUGUACUCUUGCAAUGCCUCAGGCAAAUCCAUCCCACAUCAAGGUUAGUGGGAUGACAGAUACUGGAGCAGAUGUUACUAUGAUAUCUGCUAACACAUGGCCUCAGUCAUCGCCCACCACAGCUGUAGGAUCUGUUGUUCCCAGCCUUGGAGGUACCACACAAAGUUAGUUGAGUAGUAAGCCUGUGUUAGUUAAAAAUCCAGAACAGACAGCCACAGUCCAUCCCUGUGCUGCUGCUGUGCCACUCACCUAUGGGGAAGGGAUGUCAUGUCAGCGUGGGGGGUUUGGCUGGGAACAGAUUUUUGACAGGGGCCACUGUCUGAAGGGUGUAAAGCAUCCUACAUUAGCCUUAAAAUGACUCGCCAGAUGACCUGUGUGGGUUGAUUGGUGGCCCCUUGAAAAAGUAAAACUGAAUGCUCUUUAAUUGUUGGUCAAAGAGCAAUUAAAUCAAGGACAUAUUGAGUCAUCAGCAAGUCCAUGGCACACUUCUGUGUUUAUGAUUAAAAAGAAAUCAGGUAAAUGAAAGUUAUUCCAUGUCUUAAGAAAAAUUUAUACAGUUCUGGAAAGUAUGGGUGCUUUAUAGCCUUGAAUGCCAUCCCCUACUAUGAUACCUGCUACUUGGGACAUUUUGAUUGUUGAUUGAAAAAACUGUUUCUUCACCAUUCCUUUACAUCCUGAUGAUAUCUCAAAUUUGUAUUUACAGUGUUCUUUGUCAAUCGUGUAGCAAAGAAGGCCUUUUACAGAUUCAGCCAAAAUUGAUGCAAACUUUUGGCUGCAAGAAUUCAGGUUGCAAAUUGCGCCUGAAGAGGUGCAACAAGAACCCCCAUGGAAAUACCUAGGAUUUAAAAUGUUAGAUCAGACAAUACAGCCACAAACAAUUCCAUUUUCAACCAAGAUCCAAACAUUAAAUGGUGUACAAAAUCUUUUAGGUAUCAUUAACUGGAUAUGACUCUAUUUAGGGUUAACUACCCCACAUUUGUCACCCUUUUUUAAUAUUCUUAAAGGUUUCCCUGAGUUAACUUCCCCAAGUAUUGUGGUUUAACAUAGCUUGUUUUUUAGUUAAAACCUGUUUUGUCCUCCUCCUAAUUCUUAUCUCAUAACAGAAAGUGAGUAAAUUCUAGUGGGUGCACUGGCAUUUGGCCAGCACUAGACCCACUACAUUAAUUGGUGUGUUGGCUGGAAAACUUGGAUUGGCAAACCAAAACUUAAUUGGUGUUCUGCCCAGUUACUGAAACCACUGCAUCUUUUGGUGGAGAAUGCAUGCAAUUGGUGAAAGCUGUGAGAUAAUGAUUAAUUAGGAGAAAUAAAGGGCAAAGCAAGUAUUAAGUCAUAAGUUUAAAUAGAAUGAUAGUGGAAAAUUUAUGUUGUAAUUAUAGUGAAAUGACUAGAGGUUGGAGGUUAGAGUAAGAAAUUAUUUCCUUCUGUUUAGUUUAGUAAUUUUUAUUGUUCUAAAUAGAAGUUGUAUGUUGGAUAUGAUUUUGAUAAUUUUUAAAUGUGUAUUCACAGAGAUGAGGGGUGGAGAAUGUUGUUGUUUAACAUAGUUUUUGGUAAAGAGAAAAUCCAUCAGUUAUGGAAGUGAUUCUCUGUGAGGACUGCUAACAGCUUCCUCUGGGCCCAUCAGAACCCAUCAUCUGGCUAGUUUUGAAUAUUGACACCUUGUUAAACCACUUAAGGAAGCUGAACACACCCCUGUGUCAUCACAUUUUAAAAUGAACAAAACCCAGGAGAAGCUCUCUUGCUUCCAGCUUUUGAACAGGUAACUGGACACCGGCUGGGCCAGGCUGUGCUUCACCACGUGCCCCCCAUGACCUGGUAGGGCUGGGCUGGGCCCUGCUCUGCUGCAGCACUGGCCACUGAUAAUGGCCCUGCCUAUAUCACACAGAAAACUCAUCAAUUCCUGCAAUUAUGGGGCAUGUCGCAUCUCACGGGCAUUGCUCAUUCCCCUACAGGCCAAGCCAUUGGUGAUCUUGCCCAUGGCACUUGAAGUGCAUUCUUGAAGAACAAAAAGGGACAAUGUCUGGUGAAACCCCACGGAGUAGGGUGGCCAAAGCUCUGUGUACAGUGAAUUGCCUUAUGACAUUGCCAAAAUCCCAAAACCCUCUUAUUUUAAAUAAUUUUUUGUCAUUGCAGUCCUCUAGUGAC